GAUGAACGCUGGCGGCGCGCCUAACACAUGCAAGUCGAACGAUUAAAGCACCUUGGGGUGUGUAUAAAGUGGCGAACGGAUGAGUAACACGUGGGCAACCUGCCCCUUUCAUUGGGAUAGCCACGGGAAACCGUGGAUAAUACCGAAUACUUCGAGACUUCCGCAUGGAAGACUCGAGAAAGAUCCGGCGGAGAUGGAUGGGCCCGCGGCCUGUUAGCUUGUUGGUGGGGUAACGGCCUACCAAGGCAAUGAUGGGUAGCUGGGUUGAGAGACCGACCAGCCAGAUUGGGAUUGAGACACGGCCCAGACUCCUACGGGAGGCAGCAGUGGGGAAUCUUGCACAAUGGGCGAAAGCCUGAUGCAGCGACGCCGCGUGCGGGAUGAAGGCCUUCGGGUUGUAAACCGCUUUCAGCAGGGACGAGGCGAA
rnacentral:rRNA from 2 species